UAUCACCCCAGCUUCCUGAUUGGUGCAAUU
rnacentral:piRNA from 1 species